AAACGCUGGCGCCACUGUCCAGUGGAUUACUAUCGAAGUGAUGAAGUUACCGAAAAUCUAAGGAAUCCUGGUGAAUGAAUAACAUAUCUACUCUUGUUCUUGAGUGAAUUAAUUCUUUUGGUUCCAGAAAAAGGAGAAGAGACUCUCCGCGCAGCGGUUGAUUCGGACUUCGUUUUCCUCAACAAGGCCGUUGCAGGGAAGUGGAUCGAUUCUACGCUCCCAAAGUUCUGUGGUGGAUUCCCGGUCACUACUUCACGCUCAAUUACGUCAACGUAUGCCCGAGGUUGCUGGUUGCUGCAGUGAUGAUAGACUCUCAUGCCAUGGCCGAGUAUUGGACCAACAGGACACAACAGCAUCUUGGUUCUCCAGGAUAAAGAUCCCAAAGGUGCAUCUGGGAAAUAGCAAACAUCUCACGGAAGCAGCGCUCGUCAUUUGCUCCGUCAGCAUGUAAGAGAAUCGCUCGGUAUUUCGACCGCGAUGUUAUGUUCUCCGCGAUCAACAGUAUUUCCAGAGGCGAAGGCCAGGACCUCUUUCUCAAGGCAGGCCGAAAACUCUGGGGUCUAGUGCUGGAAUUUACGCUGUUACAGUUGGAAGCGACUGGAUCAGGCAGCCAAAGUUUGAAGCGGAACUGCGAGAGCUUGUCGAGAAGAACAUUGCCGAACGUGUUGCCACCAAUGUGUUUUUUUUACAGACUUUUAAACUGUUUGACUUGGACCAAUGAAAGAAUAUGACUAUUGGCUAGCUGUGUAA